rnacentral:rRNA from 1 species
UACAGAGGGUGCAAGCGUUGUUCGGAAUUAUUGGGCGUAAAGCGCGUGUAGGCGGCUUUGCAAGUCGGGUGUGAAAGCCCUCAGCUCAACUGAGGAAGUGCGCCCGAAACUGCGGAGCUUGAGUACCGGAGAGGAUGGCGGAAUUCCCCAAGUAGAGGUGAAAUUCGUAGAUAUGGGGAGGAACACCGGUGGCGAAGGCGGCCAUCUGGACGGAUACUGACGCUGAGACGCGAAAGCCAGGGGAGCAAACGGG